GCGGCGCGUCCCCGCGCCCCGCCGGCAGUCGCGCGCAUUGUCACGGCCAAGCCACCUGAAUGGAUCUUAGUCGAUAUAAGGCGUAUAUUCGCGUGGCGCGGACGAACACUCUCGUUUUCACCGUACUGUGUUACGUCACGUUGCACGUUACAUCACUGGAUUAUCUUGCACACGUUCAGCGCGGACGAUAGCAGGACAGAAACUUCUCACGAAUGUAAUAGCGCUGAGGUGGACUUCGGAGCCCUACUGCGUCGUUAUCAAGUUCAAAGUAUUGCCAGUGCGUGGCGUACGCACGAUAUGAAUGAUGCUGCAAAUCAGAGAGCACGUGAAAUCACUGCAUCUACUCAAGCAAAGCUGAUUAGAGUCCAUAAUUACAAACAAAUUAAGGAGUAAAACUCGACAGUAGACGAACUCUUAGGUCUAAUUACCGCACCAUCGAAGACAAACGUAUUUAAUAUAAACCUAAACACAGUACAAGGAAGAUCCUAUCUUUGAUAAUCUUGCGGCAGAAUGAAGCAGUCAAAAGAAAUAUUAGUCUUUGUUCCAUAGUUAGUCACGCCAUCUAGAUAUGGUAAACAAUAUUAAUAGACAGUUUCAAUGCAAAAGGCUGCAGAUUGAAAUGCCGCCAAAAUGGCAUGAUUCAUUUUGUGGCCAUGUUAUUAUCUGCCUAGCCUUUUCCUAAGUAUAAAGCAUAUGCAACUGCCAAAAAAAAUAUUCAUGUCAUGAGAUGGAAUUACUGUAGAACCCAACUAGAACUUUGAAGAGGAAACCAGACAUUACAAAAAUAAAUAUGCACCUAAAAUUCCGGUACAGAUAAUGCCUUCAAUAUUGCUAUAGAAUACAAACGAACAGCCUAGACAACAAAAAAGUGUAUUUGAUAAGAAAACAACUAAGUACCCAUACGUCCUUCGACACAUAAAGCACCUAGCUACUUUUACACGUGUAAAAUUCUGUCGCGGAAAGAUAAGCUGACCAACCUUGAUUUACAAUGAUACAGCGAAUAUCAUUGAUUUAUUAAACAAAAAAGCCGAACUUACCUGAGAUAUAAUUAAAGAUGCGAGCAUACUUCAAAUCAACAAAGAACCUUCACUUGCACGUGGAGCGAAAACUGGUAGAUUGCGCCAACCUUGGCUUUUUAUAUAGUCCAAAACUUAUCAACCACAACCGCCAAAAUCGUGUGAUAACCUUUUAUACAUAAUAUAAUUACCACAAUGGGCCAUCGCAAUAAUAAUUAUUACAUGAGGAAAUAUGUGUGUGAACAAAACAAAUAUACGACUGUAGCGGACUUCCACAUAAUUAGGGCUUGGAAAAAAGGAGUUUGAGAAUAUUGAGAAG